GAUGAACGCUGGCGGCGUGCUUAACACAUGCAAGUCGAACGAUGAAGCCCAGCUUGCUGGGUGGAUUAGUGGCGAACGGGUGAGUAACACGUGAGUAACCUGCCCUUGACUCUGGGAUAAGCCCGGGAAACUGGGUCUAAUACCGGAUAGGAGCGCCUGUCGCAUGACGGGUGCUGGAAAGAUUUUUCGGUCAUGGAUGGACUCGCGGCCUAUCAGCUUGUUGGUGAGGUAAUGGCUCACCAAGGCGACGACGGGUAGCCGGCCUGAGAGGGUGACCGGCCACACUGGGACUGAGACACGGCCCAGACUCCUACGGGAGGCAGCAGUGGGGAAUAUUGCACAAUGGGCGGAAGCCUGAUGCAGCGACGCCGCGUGAGGGAUGACGGCCUUCGGGUUGUAAACCUCUUUCAGCAGGGAAUGAAAGCGAAAGG
rnacentral:rRNA from 1 species